rnacentral:rRNA from 1 species
UACGUAGGGUGCAAGCGUUAAUCGGAAUUACUGGGCGUAAAGCGUGCGCAGGCGGUUUUGUAAGUCUGUCGUGAAAGCCCCGGGCUCAACCUGGGAAUGGCGAUGGAGACUGCAAGGCUUGAAUCUGGCAGAGGGGGGUAGAAUUCCACGUGUAGCAGUGAAAUGCGUAGAUAUCUGGAGGAACACCGGUGGCGAAGGCGGCAUCCUGGACCGACAUUGACGCUGAGGAUCGAAAGCCAGGGGAGCAAACGGG